GACGAACGCUGGCGGCGUGCCUAACACAUGCAAGUCGAACGAAGCAUAGAAAUAUGCUUAGUGGCGGACGGGUGAGUAACGCGUGAACAAUCUGCCCUAUACAGAGGAAUAGCCUCGGGAAACCGGGAUUAAAACCGCAUAACACUUUUUGGUCGCAUGACUGAGAAGCCAAAUUGUUAGAGGUAUAGGAUGAGUUCGCGUCUGAUUAGCUAGUUGGCGGGGUAACGGCCCACCAAGGCGACGAUCAGUAGCCGGCCUGAGAGGGUGAACGGCCACACUGGAACUGAGACACGGUCCAGACUCCUACGGGAGGCAGCAGUGGGGAAUAUUGCACAAUGGAGGAAACUCUGAUGCAGCGACGCCGCGUGAGUGAAGAAGGUCUUCGGAUCGUAAAGCUCUGUCCUUGGGGACGAAAAAAAUGACGGUACCCAAGGAGGAAGCCCCGGCUAACUACGUGCCAGCAGCCGCGGUAAUACGUAGGGGGCGAGCGUUGUCCGGAUUUACUGGGCGUAAAGGGUGAGUAGGCGGUAAUAUGUGUCAGAUGUAAAAGGCUAUGGCUUAACUGUAGUUGGCAUUUGAAACUGUAUUACUUGAGUGCAGGAGAGGUAAGUGGAAUUCCUAGUGUAGCGGUGAAAUGCGUAGAUAUUAGGAGGAACACCAGUGGCGAAGGCGACUUACUGGACUGUAACUGACGCUGAGUCACGAAAGCGUGGGUAGCAAACAGGAUUAGAUACCCUGGUAGUCCACGCUGUAAACGAUGAGUGCUAGGUGUUGGCCAGCGAUGGUCAGUGCCGAAGUAAACACAAUAAGCACUCCGCCUGGGGAGUACGGUCGCAAGACUG
rnacentral:rRNA from 1 species